rnacentral:lncRNA from 1 species
ACGUGGGGCCCUGCUAAUCCAGCGUGGUCGGAACAAAUCAUUAAGACAUCUCUUCGAAUCGGAAGAUCUAGCGUACAGGCAUUCGGAGGAGGAAAGAAGCAGCUACAAAAGUACCACCUAUCGCGCGUCGAUUGAACCACCAUUUUGCCUAGCACGAGCACAUAAAAUUCCAUAGGAGGAUAUCACCAGAUCAAAGCUGCGCGCGAAGCAUGAUUACCAAAGAAGGCUCUCAAACAGAGAGCCUUUUAUAGCGUGCUUCUCAGCGGCGCACGCGUCCCCGUCGUGCCAUCGCAAUCAGCACAUGCCGGCAUCGCCAUCUCGCCGGACUUCAUAGUG